UACAGAGGUGGCAAGCGUUGUUCGGAAUUACUGGGCGUAAAGGGCGCGUAGGCGGUCCUGUAAGUCUUGUGUGAAAUCCCUCGGCUUAACUGAGGAACUGCACGAGAUACUGCGAGACUUGAGUUCGGGAGAGGAAAGCGGAAUUCCGGGUGUAGCGGUGAAAUGCGUAGAUAUCCGGAGGAACACCGGGGGCGAAGGCGGCUUUCUGGACCGACACUGACGCUGAGGCGCGAAAGCUAGGGGAGCAAACGGG
rnacentral:rRNA from 1 species